CAGCAGCCGCGGUAAUACGAAGGGGGCUAGCGUUGUUCGGAUUUACUGGGCGUAAAGGGCGCGUAGGCGGGCGAAUAAGUCAGGGGUGAAAUCCCAAGGCUCAACCUUGGAACUGCCUUUGAUACUGUUUGUCUUGAGUCCGGGAGAGGUGAGUGGAACUGCGAGUGUAGAGGUGUAAUUCGUAGAUAUUCGCAAGAACACCAGUGGCGAAGGCGGCUCACUGGCCCGGAACUGACGCUGAGGCGCGAAAGCGUGGGGAGCAAACAGGAUUAGAUACCCCUGUAGUCCCUGUCUCUUAUAC
rnacentral:rRNA from 1 species